rnacentral:rRNA from 1 species
GAACGCUAGCUACAGGCUUAACACAUGCAAGUCGAGGGGCAGCAUGAACUUAGCUUGCUAAGUUUGAUGGCGACCGGCGCACGGGUGAGUAACACGUAUCCAACCUUCCGUUUACUCAGGGAUAGCCUUUCGAAAGAAAGAUUAAUACCUGAUGGUAUGAUGAGAUUGCAUGAUAGCAUCAUUAAAGAUUUAUCGGUGUACGAUGGGGAUGCGUUCCAUUAGGUAGUAGGCGGGGUAACGGCCCACCUAGCCAACGAUGGAUAGGGGUUCUGAGAGGAAGGUCCCCCACAUUGGAACUGAGACACGGUCCAAACUCCUACGGGAGGCAGCAGUGAGGAAUAUUGGUCAAUGGACGAGAGUCUGAACCAGCCAAGUAGCGUGAAGGAUGAAGGUCCUACGGAUUGUAAACUUCUUUUAUAAGGGAAUAAACCCUCCCACGUGUGGGAGCUUGUAUGUACCUUAUGAAUAAGCAUCGGCUAACUCCGUG